UUAGUUAAGGUUGUGCAGAUUUUCUGUACUAAAUAAGAUUUCUUAUGGAGGUAUGGAAUGGCCCAGACGCCAUUCUUCUUUUUCUGCCGCGGAUAGUGAAGAAAAAUUUUACGAUACUUUUGAACAAGUAUCCAUUUCACAAGCUCAAUCUACAGGGCUAAAGGGUUUAAGCGUAAACAUUGAGGGUUCCACUUUGGAAACUAAACAUUGCGCAGAGGUGGAUGUCCACGAACAAAAUACUUUGAAAACAAAUUUAGAUAGCAGAAGUCAAGUCUUUAAAGAAAAAAAUGAAUCACCGUUAACAAAUUUACUUUCAAAAAAUAGUUUUGAGGCGUUCGCCGCUUCCAGUAAUAAAACCUUUGUAGAUUCUAAGUAUCACCGUAAAAAUAAUUUAUUAAGACAAUUGUUUAGAAAAUCGAACAAGAAUAAAUCGCAACAAACUGGU